rnacentral:rRNA from 1 species
GACGAACCGUACGAACGUUAUUCGGAAUCACUGGGCUUAAAGGGUGCGUAGGCGGUGCGGAAAGUUGGGUGUGAAAUCCCUCGGCUCAACCGAGGAACUGCGCUCAAAACUACCGUGCUCGAGGGAGACAGAGGUGAGCGGAACUUAGGGUGGAGCGGUGAAAUGCGUUGAUAUCCUAAGGAACACCGGUGGCGAAGGCGGCUCUCUGGGACGGUACUGACGCUGAGACGCGAAAGCGUGGGGAGCGAACAGG